CAGAAAAUAGUUUAUACAAAACAAAAACUUUGGGAGUUUUAGAUUUAGGUUUCUAAUUUUCUGA
rnacentral:tRNA from 2 species